CUUCCAGGUGUAUACGGGAAACCUUCUCUCUCAGCCCAGCCGGGCCCCACGGUUCAGCCAGGAGAGAACGUGACCUUGUCCUGCAGCUCCCGGAGCUCCUUUGACAUGUACCAUCUAUCCAGGGAUGGGGAGACCCCUGAACUCAGGCUCCCUGCAGUGCCCAGCGUCAACGGAACAUUCCAGGGCCACUUCUCUCUGGGCCCUGCCACCCACGGAGGGACCUACAGAUGCUUCGGCUCUUUCCCUAACUCUCCCUACAGGUGGUCAGCCCCGAGUGACCCACUGUCCGUUUCUGUCACAGGAAACCCUUCAAGCGGUUGGCCUUCACCCACAGAACCAAGCUCCAAAACUGGUGAGUAAAGGAUCCCUCCUGUCUUUGCUUUUGGAAAGCUGGGGAGGUGGAAGCCAUGGAAUCAAGUGUUGGCUCAGCACCUCUCAGCUCUGUGAUUGAGGGCCCGUCUUCUGCCAUCUCUGAACCCCAGACAGUAACA